UACGAAGGGGGCUAGCGUUGCUCGGAAUCACUGGGCGUAAAGGGUGCGUAGGCGGGUCUUUUAAGUCAGGGGUGAAAUCCUGGAGCUCAACUCCAGAACUGCCUUUGAUACUGAAGAUCUUGAGUUCGGGAGAGGUGAGUGGAACUGCGAGUGUAGAGGUGAAAUUGUAGAUAUUCGCAGGAACACCAGUGGCGAAGGCGGCUUACUGGCCUGUUCUGACGCUGAGGCGCGAAAGCUAGGGGAGCAAACGGGG
rnacentral:rRNA from 1 species